rnacentral:rRNA from 1 species
AUUGAACGCUGGCGGCAUGCCUUACACAUGCAAGUCGAACGGUAACAGGUCUUCGGAUGCUGACGAGUGGCGAACGGGUGAGUAAUACAUCGGAACGUGCCCGAGAGUGGGGGAUAACGAAGCGAAAGCUUUGCUAAUACCGCAUACGAUCUCAGGAUGAAAGCAGGGGACCGCAAGGCCUUGCGCUCACGGAGCGGCCGAUGGCAGAUUAGGUAGUUGGUGGGAUAAAAGCUUACCAAGCCGACGAUCUGUAGCUGGUCUGAGAGGACGACCAGCCACACUGGGACUGAGACACGGCCCAGACUCCUACGGGAGGCAGCAGUGGGGAAUUUUGGACAAUGGGCGCAAGCCUGAUCCAGCCAUGCCGCGUGCAGGAUGAAGGCCUCGGUUGGUAACGUAGCUUUGUUACGGUAACGAAAAGAACUACUGUUAAGUACUAGGGUCCGAGUGACGGUACGUAACGAAGUAAGACACGACGUAACUAACGUACGCGACGCAGACGCC